UUUGAUCCUGGCUCAGAUUGAACGCUGGCGGAANGCUUUACACAUGCAAGUCGAACGGCAGCAUAGAGAGCUNGCUCUCUGAUGGCGAGNGGCGAACGGGUGAGUAAUAUAUCGGAACGUGCCUAGUAANGGGGAAUAACUAGCUGAAAGGUUAGCUAAUGCCGCAUACGACCUACGGGUGAAAGCAGGGGAUCUUCGGACCUUGCGUUAUUAGAGCGGCCGAUAUCUGAUUAGCUUGUUGGUGGGGUAAUGGCCUACCAAGGCGACGAUCAGUAGCUGGUCUGAGAGGACGAUCAGCCACACUGGAACUGAGACACGGUCCAGACUCCUACGGGAGGCAGCAGUGGGGAAUUUUGGACAAUGGGGGCAACCCUGAUCCAGCCAUUCCGCGUGAGUGAAGAAGGCCCUUCGGGUUGUAAAGCUCUUUCGCAAGANAAAGAAAAACUUGCUAUCUAAUAAAUAGUAAGCAUGACGGUAUCUUGACAAGAAGCACCGGCUAACUACGUGCCAGCAGCCGCGGUAAUAAGGG
rnacentral:rRNA from 1 species